rnacentral:rRNA from 1 species
ACCGCAGCUAAAUGCGCGUCAGAAUGUGAACUGCAGGACACAUGAACACCGACACGUUGAACGCAUAUGGCGCAUCGGCUCGCCUCAAAACGACCGAUGCACACAUCCUUGAGUGUCUACUUAUUUGUUGACCAACCCAACCGGGCCCCGUUAGCGCGGGGUCCGUCAUUCGACUACAACAUGCCGCGCGGGUCACACCAGACCGAGGCGGACGUUGUGCAUAACGGCGUGCUGGGCGCGGCUUCGCGCAGCCCCAGGGCGUUGAUCCGGGUGAGUUGGAUUCGAGCGGGCGGCCAUCGUCACUGGCCUGCACGCGCUUGACGCGCGUGGUACCCCUGGUCGUUAGAUGUUGCGCUCGUAGCCUUCCCUAGGUUGACUACAAAGGUGCCAGAUGCUUCCGACCAGACCGACCGGGUACCCGUCAGUCCGCGUCUUGCGGUCGGUGCCUACAAGGUUGCUCACACACCCUCACCGGGUGUGCGACACACAGUGUACACGUACGCGCCCCCAGCCCUCGAGCCACAUCCACUCACUCCGCGGUGUAUGCGCCUGCAUGCCCGCACCACUCACAACAUGUAGACCUCAGGUGAUGUGUGGUAACCCCCGGAAUUUAAGCAUAUUAAUAAGGGGAGGAAGAGAAACCAACCGGGAUUCCCUGAGUAGCUGCAA